rnacentral:rRNA from 1 species
AUGUGGAAAGCAUAAGCCGGGAAUGGAAAGACCGGUACAAGCGAGGUAGGUGUGUGACAGGCAAAUCCGUCAUAUAAGCCGAAGACGUGAUGUGGAGCGAAAUUUAGUAGUGAAGUAUGUGAGCCAUGUGCCGAGAAAAGCCGCUAUUGUUUUAUAUGUGCCCGUACCGUAAACCGACACAGGUGGAUGAGGAGAAAAUCCUAAGGCCGACGGAAGAAGCAUUGUUAAGGAAUUCGGCAAAAUGACCCCGUAACUUCGGGAGAAGGGGUGCCCACUGAAUGGUGGGCCGCAGAGAAUAGGCUCAAGCAACUGUUUAGCAAAAACACAGGUCUAUGCGAAACCGAAAGGUGAAGUAUAUGGGCUGACGCCUGCCCGGUGCUGGAAGGUUAAGAGGAGAGGUUAGCGUAAGCGAAGCUUUGAAUUUAAGCCCCAGUAAACGGCGGCCGUAACAAUAACGGUCCUAAGGUAGCGAAAUUCCUUGUCGGGUAAGUUCCGACCCGCACGAAAGGCGUAAUGAUUUGAGCACUGUCUCGACAAUGCAUCCGGUGAAAUUGAAGUACCAGUGAAGAUGCUGGUUACCCGCGCCAGGACGGAAAGACCCCAUGGAGCUUUACUCCAGUUUGAUACUGGGAUUCGGUACUGCACGUACAGGAUAGGUGGGAGACUGAGAACUAUGGACGCCAGUCUGUAGGGAGUCGCUGUUGGGAUACCACCCCUGUAGUACUGGGUUUCUAACCAUCUGCCGUGAUCCGGCAGUGGGACAAUGUCAGGCGGGGAGUUUGACUGGGGCGGUCGCCUCCGAAAGGGUAUCGGAGGCGCUCAAAGGUUCCCUCAGAAUGGUCGGAAACCAUUCGAAGAGUGCAAAGGCAGAAGGGAGCUUGACUGCGACACCGACGGGUGGAGCAGGUACGAAAGUAGGACUUAGUGAUCCGGUGGUAUAAAGUGGGAUUGCCAUCGCUCAACGGAUAAAAGCUACCCUGGGAUAACAGGCUUAUCACUCCCAAGAGUUCACAUCGACGGAGUGGUUUGGCACCUCGAUGUCGGCUCAUCGCAUCCUGGGGCUGUAGCAGGUCCCAAGGGUUGGGCUGUUCGCCCAUUAAAGCGGUACGCGAGCUGGGUUCAGAACGUCGUGAGACAGUUCGGUCCCUAUCCGGCGCGGGCGGAGGAUAUUUGAGAGGAGCUGUCCUUAGUACGAGAGGACCGGGAUGGACGGACCACUGGUGUAUCUGUUGUCGACCAACGGCAUGGCAGAGUAGCCAAGUCCGGAAGGGAUAAACGCUGAAGGCAUCUAAGCGUGAAGCCCCCCUCAAGAUGAGAUAUCCCUCCUUCGGGAGUAAGACCCCUUGAAGACUACAAGGUAGAUAGGGCAGAGGUGGAAGUGUGGCAACACAUGGAGCUGACUGUUACUAAUAGGUCGAGGGCUUGAU